GCCGGUGUAGCUCAGUCUGGUAGAGCAGCUGAUUUGUAAUCAGCUAGUCGGGGGUUCAAAUCCUCUCGCCGGCUCCA
rnacentral:tRNA from 1 species